rnacentral:rRNA from 1 species
GAUGAACGCUAGCGGCAGGCUUAAUACAUGCAAGUCGAGGGGCAGCAGGGGUGUAGCAAUACACUUGCUGGCGACCGGCAAACGGGUGCGGAACACGUACGCAACUUACCCUGAACUGGGGGAUAGCCCGGGGAAACCCGGAUUAAUACCCCGUAACACUGUGAGGUGGCAUCACCUUAUAGUUAUAGCUCCGGUGGUUCAGGAUGGGCGUGCGGCUGAUUAGGUAGUUGGUUGGGGUAAUGGCCCACCAAGCCUACGAUCAGUAACUGGUGUGAGAGCACGACCAGUCACACGGGCACUGAGACACGGGGCCGACUCCUACGGGAGGCAGCAGUAAGGAAUAUUGGGCAAUGGAGGCAACUCUGACCCAGCCAUGCCGCGUGGAGGAUGAAGGCCCUCUGGGUUGUAAACUUCUUUUACCUGGGACGAAACCUUUCUUUUCUAAGGGAGUUGACGGUACCAGGGGAAUAAGCACCGGCUAACUCCGUGCCAGCCGCCGCCGUAACAC